CGGAGAUGGGCACUGGGGACCGGAAAGCACAAGGAAGGUUGCUGAAGCGGUGAGGGUGGAGGUUGUGAGACUAAGGCCGCCUUUAACCGUUACUGAAUCUUCUAGACGAACCAGAAUUACUAUUCUAAUUGGUGUUCUAUGUUCCCGGGACUCAACCUACAAACACACGGAACCACUUUCUACCUCUUACGUCACUGGAUGCCAGGUCUUUCUCUGCCAAGAGCCGCAUGGCCAGAGGCCAGGCUCUCAACCUUGCGCAGUGUUUGUUCCGCCGAUACAAUAGAGGAGGCUACGCGGAGAGCGGAGGAAGCCUGAGUGUGGGAAGUCCUACGUGAAUAUGUAUUGUUUGACACAGGCACAGCCGUGUCAAGGACCCCAAAGCCUCAGAGCUACGAGAAUGGCAAAGCUCCCCACACCAUCUGCAGCCCCAUCUCCCAUCUCCUGGGGAGACUCCGAGGGCUGGCAAAGCUUUCCACUGAUCUAUGUGCAGAAAUGGCCACCAGAGUUUUCUCCCUCCCAGAUGGUUACUACCUGAAGACUGCUCCCCUACAGCGACUGCUCCUACGGAGAUUAGCUAACCCCGCCGCCUUAUUUAUCUGUAGGUGAUAACCCCAUAUCCUUGUUCAGCUGUGGGCAGUAACCCCUCAUCUCUGUUUGACUGUUUAUAAGAAAUAUGCCGAGUUUCUGGAGUACUCUGGUUUCUCCAGCAGAGGCAUUGCCAGGCCACGCAAUCCCAGCUUCUCUGUGUGACUGUGUGUUUGGUGUUCAUUCUCUUGUCGCUACCGUCAGGGUUUGUACCUGGAGCCAUGCUGAAUGCAGCAGAUAGUGAUGUCUCUUCCAUUCCUUCAGCCUGGAGACACUGUGAUUCUCCACUUUUCUAGAACUAGCCCCCAAAUGAAAAGACAUUCACACCAACAUAAGAAGUACCUGUUCAACAAGAUAGGCAAUAAGAAAGAGUGAGGUAGUAGUAAGAGCCAUCCAUCAUUCUUGUCUCCUGCAAUCAUCUAAAAAGGAAUUAAGCAAAAAAAAAAAAAAAGCCACAAGGGAUUUUUGUUUGUAGAGCGUGAGUUAACAGACAGGAUUAAAGAUUGCCUUGUGUUUAUGA